CCCUCCGCGCCCCCGGAACUCCGCGGCGGUCCCGCCUCUGCUCGUGGAAGUGGCCGCGGCGGGCCGCUCACCGGCGGCCGGCUGCUCCCCCGAGGCCGGCGGCUGGGCCGGGGGCUCCGACCUCGGGGAGCCUCCGCUCCGCGCGGCCUGAGUCCCGAGCUGUCCGGCCCCAGCCUGUGCGAGGCCAGGCCCCAUCCGCCCCCUGGAGCUGGACGGCAGGUGCCGCAGGUCGGGCUCCGGAGCGUGGUGUGCGGAGCCGCCGGGCUGACCGACCGGCGGGAGUCGGCCUGGGGCCCCUCCCCAGACUCCACGGCUGGGCUCGCUGAGCCUUGGGCCCCUCCACGGUGAAGCAGGAUGGUUGUGAGCAUUCCAGGCUGAUUCAUCUAAUGGGAAUUUGAAUGCUGGUGGAAAACUGUACAGAAAAUCCAGUGCUCUGGAAAGUGAUUCCGGAAAGGAGUAAAAAGAAGACUGCUAUUCAAGAAAGUACCUUACUUUUGGUUAAUUCUAAUAGGUCAUUCCAUUUUGGGCCCUUUCGUUUCUUUUUUCAUCUUUCUAUAAUUUUGUUUACGUAUUCAGUACACCACCCAGUGCUCAUCACAAGUGCCCUCCUUAGUACCCAUUGCCCAUCUAG